ACCUGACUGGCUCAGUUGGCAGAGCAUGUGAUUCUUGAUCUCAGGGUUGUGAGUUCAAGCCUCACAUUGAGUG
rnacentral:tRNA from 1 species